CUGUGGUGAAGCUCAUGGGGAUGGGAGAGGAUCACCUCUUGAAUGAUCAAGGCUUUAGACAUCAGAGCUAAUUUAGCAAAUGUCGGGAAGGAAAAGGAUCUCUAAACCAUGCACCCUGGCUUGGCAGAGCCCUGGCUGUGACGUUACCUGCUUGGGUAAUGACAUCCGUGUGCUUCUCCACUGGGCUUGGACGACGAAAUGGCUCAAUGUUAGUUGCGUCCUCAUCCAAGUGAUGUGGCCUUUCACCACAAGCAUUGGAAGGCUGCUGUGCCCCUCAGGUGGUGAGGAAAUCAAAGGGAAUUCAGGCGUGGGCUUUCCUAUUCCUGGAAAAUUCUUGCCAAUUCUUUCCCUGGACAGAACAGCAAGGGAAGAGUGACCAGAUAAAUUGGAGACCUCCAGAGCAGAGAUGUCUCAAGCACAGCAGCUGUUCAGAACCACAGACCACUUGAACUGAACUGCCUUCCCAUCACACACAGACCUUCUGCGUAGACUCUCCAGGGAAUACACCUGGAGUCUUAAUUCCAGAGAUCUGGGCUGGAGGACCUGGCACUGGGACCAGGUGCAGCGAGGAUGUUGUGUCACCUUCUGGGUGUUGAGAUGUCACCUUUUGUAGGUGUGAGAUGUCACCAGUGAAUGUUUACCGACGUUGCCUGACGUGACGUGCAAGGACCUGCCUGUCGUUUUGGACCAUCUGUUUCUCACUGAGGAAGUGUCUCUUGCUUUUCCCAAUGUCUCCCUCAGCCUGGUUCUUCUCUUUGCACUCAUGGUCCCCCCUGCAGGCGCUGGUCUCUCCCUCUCCCCACUAUUCACCCUGAGCCUGCUCUGUAGCUUUAUUCCUACCAACAUACCAGUAUCUUGGGUUCGAUUUUCCCUGGUGGAUUUGAUCCCUGGGGCAGUCCCCUUCUUGUGAACUUGUUUUUCCUCAUUCAGGUGGUUUUCGCUGUCUUUCUCCCCUUUGCACGGAAGACACACGCACACAGGCUGUGCUUCUGGCUUCCACUUGCUUAAGGCCUAGAGGAUGGAGAUCUUGUCCUGAUGUGAUCCCAUAACACAUGGAGCAUACCCUGAGCACAGGGUGAAAGUGUUCAUUGCCGAAGUAGCCAGGGAAAUGGAAAACGCCUGCCUGACCUUAUUUGAGCCCUUAUGGUGGCUCUCCUCAGGACUCUGCUCAGGGAAGAAACUCCCCUGGUCUUUUCUCCUUCCCUCUAGGAAUGUGCCCUUGUGCAUAUGUGGGUAAUUCUUCCCCUGAUCCCAUUGUGUCCUCAGUGCAGGGAGAAGGACCGUGCCCCCAUGGUGGCCUCCUACAGAUGGGAAAGGCAGGUGGCACAGGGAGAAGUAAUUCCAGUCAGUUUUGCCUUGCUUUUGGUGCUGGAGGGGGGAUCAUCCAUUGCUCUCCUACUGCUGAGACUUUGGCACCACCUGUCUCUGAGGGAAAGGAUGAAGAUCCCAGAGGAGCGAUCCCAGCAAGAACCGAUCCUGUCUUUCUGUUCCCCGCCCUGCUUGGUGUUGGAUGCUUUCUGGCUCCUCAGGAACAGCCCCGGCCACCACCGCGGGGUUUGGGUGGGCACAGGGUGUCCUGGGGUUUGGUAGCUCUGCUCUGGGCAUGGCUGGUUCUCGCUUUGUGCUUCCUCCUUCCUGGGUGGAUGAUGACAGCACUCCCCAGGAAAUCUCUUCCAGAUAAGCAGUAUUUAUUUUGCAGGACUGAUGCAUCGUGCACUUUUCUCUCUAAUUCAAGCAAACGCACACAAAUAACGUUGCUUUUAUCUGCCCAGGUCCAAACCGUGCUCAAAGCCUCCUCUUGCCGUGACUCACUCCUGGGCAAGCCCUGGAGAAAACAGAUGUGGUGAUUCACUUGCAGAUCCCAUCCUUUUCUCACGGCCCUGUGUGUCAGACACGCUCUGGGUACCUGAAGGAGGAGCAAGUUCCUGCAAGCAGGAGCCUUGGAAGGACAUGGAUCUGUUAGAGCGACUCCAGAGAAGCCAUGAAGAUGAUCCAAGGGGUGGAGCAUCUCCCAUUUGAAGACAGUCUGAGAGAGUUGGGCUUGUUCAGCCUGGAGAAGAGAAAAGGAGACCUUAGAGCAGCUUCCAGCACUGAAAGGGGCUCUGGGAAAGCUGAGGAGGGGCUCUGGAUCAGGGAGGGCAGCGAGAGGAUGAGGGGGAAAGGUUUUGAACUGAAAGGGGGGAGAUGGAGAUGAGAUCUUAGGAAGAAAUGUUUUGCUGUGAGGGUGGGGAGGCCCUGGCCCAGGUUGCCCAGAGCAGUGGUGGCUGCCCCAUCCCUGGAGGGGUUCCAGGCCAGGUUGGAUGGGGCUUGGAGCCCCUGAUCCAGUGGGAAGUGUCCCUGAACCAUGGCAGUGGGUGGAACUGGAUGGGCUUUGAGGUCCCUUCCAAUCCAAACCAUUCUAUGAGCCUGUGAUCAGCUGAGCACCUGCUCCUGCGCCUCCUGCCCCACUCCAGCAUUUCCAGAGGGAUCCUCCUGAUUUUCAGUAGGACUCAGGUCUGCAGCCAGUUUGGGAUGCUGCUUUCUAUCAGCUGUAUAGGUUUGGUUCUGGUGGAGGUAGUGGUGUAAAUUGGGUUCUCGAUGUGUUGAGUAGUUUGGAAGGAGUGGUCCAUAAAAAUUGUGCAUCGUACCUUUUGUUGAUGUCUUCUCUGCAGGCUCCUGUGAGGGUAAAUUUUGUGAGCUGAAAAUUCUGUGGUUUUUACAAAAUGACUUUUUUUUUGUUAUCCUUUUUCCGUUUUCUCCCAUUUUCCCUUUCUGUCUCCUCCAUUUUAAUCCUUAUUUUAGGAAAAAUAAAACAUAAAAUUGAAGGAGGGAGGUGGAAUCCAAUUUGAUGAAUAAUAAAUAACCUUGCAUUCAGAAAAGCCUCGGCUGUUUUUCCUCAAAGCAGCCGGUGCACUACGAGCUUGAUUUGCUGCUAUAAAUAUUGGCCAGGUUCUUUCAACCCUUCUGAAGGUAAAUGAGAAGCAGUUGCCAGGUUUGCUUGGUGUUGCACGUCUGGGAUGAUGAAAGGACCAAAGAAACUGGAAGAAUCUGUAAUUGCGAGUGGGGUGCUCAGCCAUGCGGUCUGGGAGCCCGAGCGCCGAGGUGCAGCAGGGAGGCAUGCGCUUGAUGUGGGAUCUCCCUUCGCCACGGUUUCUACCUGCCAAACACCAGCCUGGAAGAUAACUCCCGCUGGCUCCAGGAUGGGAGGAUGCUAAAAGCAUUCCAGCCCAGAUGAAGAGGCGAACCUCGGUGACGUGGCGCCAGGUGCACCUCCAGGCAUUUGCUGCUCAGUGGCGACGGGCUUGGAGCGCUGACACUCCCCGCACACCCUGCGGUGAUGGAGCAGUUGGACAUCAGUGGGCAGGUUCAAGACUGAGAGGGACGAUGCGUUGGGCUGGGAGAUGUCCUGCUCUUCGCUGGCAAGGACUUUUCUCUAUUACCUUCUCAGCAGUCACGGGGCUGACUUGACUGGUCAAAUAUUGAAGAGACCAAGUCCUUGAGAACAGCUAUCUGAAGAACGAGAAGCAGUUGAGGAUGUUUGUCCCUUAGCUCACCUAAGGAUUAUUAAUGACUUUUCAGUGGAGCCAAUUAAGCAGGUGCAUUGAUGAUGACAGAGCAAGAGCUGCAUUGCUACCAAGGUUCAGGUCAUGCAAGGAGGCCUCAUUCCCAAGCUGAUGUCCCCUGGCCAUCUGAAUAAACUGUGGACAGCUGACCAUCAGCAGUCGGAACAGAUCCCGUCAGGAGCGAGUGCAUCCUCUCUUGCUGGCAGAGCAUCUGCACAGUGAUCCAUGAUUACCUCAGACUUUGUCAUGAUGGAAAGUUUCUCAGGGGAAGCUUAUUCUGAACUUGCGCUUUCUCUUUGUUUGGUUGGAAGUCCAGUGGACAAAUUCCAGUCAUGAGGCUUUGCCACGGCUGAUCACGUGGCUUCGCUGCUGUUCUCAGCCUGGUGAAACAUUACUGCUUCCAUUAGCUUCUCUCUUUUCGAUCUCCAGCUAAAUCAUAGAUUCAUAGAAUGUCCUGAGUUGGAAGGGCCACACAAGGGUCAUCAAUUCCAACUCCUGUCUCCCUGCACAGGGCAACCCCAACAUUCACACCGUGUGUCUGAGGGUGCUGGCCAAACGCUUCUUGAAUAUCAUCAGGCUUGGUGCCACGAUGGCUCAUGUUCUGCUGCUCCACCAGCCUCUAAGUGAAGAACCUUUUCCCAGCAUCCAGCCUAACCCUCCCGUGGUGCAUCUUCCUGCCAUUCCCUCAGAUCCUGUCACUGGCCACCAGAGAGAAGAGAUCAGUGCCUGCUCCUCCUCCCCUUGUGAGGAAGCAGUAAACUGCAAUGAGGUCUCCCCUCAGUCUCCUCUUCUCCAGGCUGAACAGACCACGUGAAUUUAGCUGCUCCUCAUACGUCUUCCCCUCUUAACCCUUCAACAACUUAGUGGUUCUAACACUUGGAAGAUAUAAGCCCACGGGAUAUGUUUCAGCCCCCUAUUGGAACACAAAAGUGAACAUAAAAAAGUACAAGCACCAUCAAACCCAUUUGAUUUAAAAUCACUUCUUGGCUACUUCCACCACCGAUACGGUUCCAGUGCUAGCGUAGAGUCUUCAAUAUCAGUAAACUCUGGCAACUUCUCUAGUGCAUGAGGAGCCAGGAUCUCUGGAAUCCAGCUUCUUUCCUGAAUCUUCUCAAGAAGUUUCCUCCUCCUGAUAAAUUCUAGGAGUGAAAAUGUAGAGAGAGUGAAGAUGCUAAAAAGGCUACGGAUCUUGUUCGUGUUGCAGUUGAGAAAUGAAAGCUUCUUCCCUUUUGUAAAUGAUUUUCAAUGCUUUCAACAUUUUCUUUUUGUUUUGUCACUGGGAAAAAUGAAAAGAAAAAAAGGGGAAGAAGUAGUGAAAAGGGCAAAUGUUUAAUUUUCUGGUUCAUCCUUUAAGAACUUUGAAGAGUAAAGAAGUGGCUCAUGUUAAUUUCUGGAGAAAGGAAGAGAAAUUCCACUUUCUGCAUGUGAUUCUCCCCUUCCUCCCUACCACUUGAAAUAAUUCAUCCUGCCUUAAAUUAAAAGGUUUGAUUUGGAAACUGGGGCAGAAGGUGAGCGUUUGUGGGUGUGUUGGCAAGGGCAUCCUGAGUGGAUAGAAGCUUUUGGAAGGGCAGCGCGCAGCCCCAGCGCUGCAGGAGGAGCUAUACUGGGACUCUUUUUGGGUGAAACCAUGGCGGGUGCUGCUGGGGUGGAUGAUGAGGUGAAGACACCAGCCCAGAAAAUAAAUACUUCCAAUCUUUAAAUACUUCCAACAUAGGAGCUCAGCCCCCAUUCUUGUUAAUUCGGGAGCUAUUCCCAGCCGCUCCCUCUGGGUCUGCAGGAUCGCCCUUUCCCAGGUCAGCAGCCUGGAUGCCCAUUAUUCCGCAGGAUGGCUCCUUGCCUUCUCUGCCUGGGUGUUUCGCUGGGCGUCAAAGGGACUGGAGGAAAAACCCAGCUGCAACGCAGGGUGUAUGCCUUCCUUUCCCAUCAGUGACCCUCUGGAAGACCAUCAUCACUAAUGCCACCUUGCUCUCAUUUAGAUGAAGGUUUCUGCCUCCACAUGCUCUGGACCGUGCAGGUCUCCACCGCUGCGUUGACCUCAGGGCAGAUGGAUGCUUUGCUGAGCCCAUGGACUCCUGGUUAUCUGCAGCACAAGGGUGCUCCCAAACCAUGUUCAACAAGAGAGAUUGAGUUCUGAGUGAGUUCUUUCCUUCCUGCCUUUUCUGAGCCUUUUCCCACCAGUGUCACCCAGCUCACCAAACAUCAACCCUCUGGGGCUACGUCUUUACAGCAUCUUACUUGAGGCAAAAGAGACAGGCACACUCGGACACUCUCCCUGAGGUGCCGACCAACUCCAAACAGUGAGGCAUCAACUGCUGAUGUCUUUGGAAGCGAAUCCUGCAGUAGGGGACGGCUGUUGUGCCUGCUUUCCCCAGCUGAUGAUGCUGGAGAGGAGAAGGCAUGUCAGGAGAGAAUGACUUCAUGACCCACUCCGGGAACUGGUCACCCCCUCCUCGCAGCAAGGGCUGCUGGAAGGAAGCCCAGGCGAAGCGCUGCCAAGGAUGUCUUCAUCCUCAUACCCCGUUACAGGCAGUGUUUGCAAAUGCUGAGACGGUGCUGCUCAGUGAGCAGCCAGCCAGCUUGGCUGAUAACGUAGCUUUUGGUGGCUCUGCUCAAAGCCGAGAGCCUCACAGCAUGUUCUGGCUCGGGGGUGACACCAGUGUGUUUGGGUGGCUCCAUGGGAGUGGGAGAGGUGAAAGGAGAAAGCUGGGUCUUUGGCUAUUUUUCUCAAAUUUAAUGAACUCUGCCUGAACGAUGAACCUGGUGUGGCUGUUUCUGGACCCCACAGCCCUGCAAGGUGAGGAUUUCCCUGUUUUCAGAUGUAAUGAUGUUCUCCAGCUGCACCUGAAGCACAAGAAGGGAUCUUUUAAUGCAGUUCAGCUCCCCUGGGCUGAAUUAAUUACUGGCAAAAUGAACCCAGGCCUCAGCGUGCUGCGAGAUAUCCCUGCAACUCACAAUCACAACCAAAGA